UAUUACAAAAAUCGUGUGUUCACAUAUAGUUCAUUUGCUUAUCCAAUGUUAGGGCUAAUAUUAUGGAAUAAGUCUGCUUUAUGGAAAGCAUAAAUAAUAAAAAAAGCGUCGGUACACUACUAUCAGCGGUAAGGGUCGCCCUACGUUGAUACCUGCUGUUAUAUCUCGCCAGACGUCGCAGACAGCACGUGGAAGACUGUGUGAGAGAGAGAGAAAGGAUGAUUAACGGCGUGGAAGAGGUACCGGUACCGUAGUCACUGCAAAAUGAUGUGUUCCUUCUGGAUAUAAUACUGAUCCGAUCUGAUCUAGAUACGAAAAUCUGGCACAAUAAGUUUCAUCUCGAAAACUGCAACCUCGGUGAGGUACCGCAAAGGAAAUGAUGAACCAUCGAACCGACACACAACCCUAGUGAAGGC
rnacentral:sRNA from 1 species